GCUUAACGCGAAGAACCUUACCCACCUUUGACAUGUACGGAAUCCUUUAGAGAUAGAGGAGUGCUCGAAAGAGAGCCGUAACACAGGUGCUGCAUGGCUGUCGUCAGCUCGUGUCGUGAGAUGUUGGGUUAAGUCCCGCAACGAGCGCAACCCUUGCCAUUAGCUGCUACAUUUAGUUGAGCACUCUAAUGGGACUGCCGGUGACAAACCGGAGGAAGGUGGGGAUGACGUCAAGUCCUCAUGGCCCUUAUAGGUGGGGCUACACACGUCAUACAAUGGCUGGUACAAAGGGUUGCCAACCCGCGAGGGGGAGCUAAUCCCAUAAAGCCAGUCGUAGUCCGGAUCGCAGUCUGCAACUCGACUGCGUGAAGUUGGAAUCGCUAGUAAUCGUGGAUCAGAAUGUCACGGUGAAUACGUUCCCGGGUCUUGUACACACCG
rnacentral:rRNA from 1 species